AUGCAAAUAAAUGAAAAUCGGGGUUGUUCUGACACAGGAAUGAUGCCUUUUCCUUGUUUGGGGUUUUGCAUGUUUUCAGGAAUAUGCUGGAUGGGCUCUGGCCCAGGCGAGCACAUGCCCCAGGACUGUCGGGCGCUGUCCAGUGACCCCAUCCCAGUUCCACACCCUCAUACCCGAGGAGCUAUCUGUGGGAAGAGACAGAUGACCAGGCUCUCUCAGAGGCAUCCAGUUGCCUCCCUGUGGAGACAGUGCCAACACUCAAUAGAAGCUAACUGCCCUCCUAUACAUGGUGGAUUUUCUGAAAAGACCAGUGUCCAACUCUUAAGGUUUUCUUUUGCAUCAUUGGUCAGGGGGUACCAAUCACAUACAGAAUGUUUGCUCUGCAUUUACCAGUCCCUACGUCAUCCUGUCAGUGAUCAUGCAUACAUUUUUCAAAUAUUAAAAAAAGAGAGAACUCUCACUCAUCACAGCUGUUCAAAUCAUAAUCAGGACAUUCUUCCAAGACUGGCCUUGGAGCAUGAUAUCUUGAUGACCCCUCCCUCAUGAAGUACCUAAAUUUCAUGCACUAGAGCCAGGUAGGAGAUGGACUUCAAACACCAAGUGGCAAAGGUCUAGAGCUGAAUUUGUAAUAUUUCUUUUAAUGGGAUUACUGGGUGAUGAGCAUUAAGGAGGGCACAUGAUGAGAUGAGUACUGGGUGUUUUACUACUAUAUGAUGGCAAAUUGAAUUUAAAUAAAACAUAAAAAGUCAAUCA
rnacentral:lncRNA from 1 species